GUGCUCACUUUAAUAACACAUGCACUAAAACGGGAACGAAACGGAGAGAUUAGCAUGGCCCCUGAGCAAGGAUGACAUGCAAAUUUGGGAAACAUUCCAUAGUUUU
ensembl:snRNA U6 U6 spliceosomal RNA